UCCAAAUGGAGUCGUGGGCUGCCGGUGCCCUGGCCAUUGAUAGUGCAGGGAAAACAUUGCUGAAAUGCGUUUUCCCCAUGUUUGAAGGUUCCAACUGUCCCUUCCAACCCAGGAACUUUCACACA